rnacentral:rRNA from 1 species
UUCGAUUAUACGCGAGGAACCUUACCCGGGCUUGAACUGCCGGCGAACGAUACAGAGAUGUUGAGGCCCUUCGGGGCGCCGGCGGAGGUGCUGCAUGGUUGUCGUCAGCUCGUGACGUGAGGUGUCGGCUUAAGUGCCAUAACGAGCGCAACCCCUCUCCGUAGUUGCCAUCGGGUGAUGCCGGGCACUCUGCGGACACUGCCACCGUAAGGUGUGAGAAAGGUGGGGAUGACGUCAAAUCAGCACGGCCCUUACGUCCGGGGCUACACACGUGUUACAAUGGGUGGUACAGAGGGCAGGCGUCCGGCAACGUCCGUCUAAUCCCGAAAGCCAUCCUCAGUUCGGACUGGGGUCUGCAACCCGACCCCACGAAGCGGAUUCGCUAGUAAU